rnacentral:lncRNA from 1 species
UUUUUGUCUCUUCUUUGUAAUGUGGUGUUAUGAGCUGUGUGUUGGUGGUGGAGAGAGAUGAGGCAAACGGAAGUGAAGCCAGACCGGAAAGGUCGGACACACGCGGUCGAAGGCCAGCACGUCGGGCAGUCAGAAGACAGACAGCUUAUGAGGAAGACGUGUUUUGAUCUAGAGCGAUUGUUUACUCCGCCGCGGUUUACGAGCUAAGGUCCAACGUUUCAUUCUGUCCUUUUGCUUCUUGUUGUCUUUUUCGUCCAUCACGCCACAUGUAUCAUUUUGUAAAUUUAGUAUCUUAAUAUAUUUGUCUGUAUGCGAUCACAUUAUGCGUAUUUCAGUAUAAUAUAAACCUGUCAUAUAUUUGUGUACAUCAUUAAUACAGACACCACCGAAUGACCAACACAGACACAAAACAUACCCGGUUCUACCUGAUUACAUCGACACAGUAUUUCCCAGCUCGAAGCAAAUUGGUAAUAUCGUGUAACGAAUUUUCUAGUGUAUACAACACGUAAAUGCAAGUGUCGGUUAAAUGAUUUAUUUCAACCACAAUCCGAUGCUUUCCCAUUGAUGUCGUCCACAUGCCUAUUUCACCUCCGACCUCAACAACAUCUUAGGCGACGCAUCUCGCUACACUACUUUCGUAUCCAUCGCCAGUUCUCAAAAUCGACCUCGGCGGAAUUUGAACUAACAACGUAAACACCAACGGAAUGGUGCUAAGCAUUUUGCCCGGCUUCGUAAUGAUUCUGCCAGCUUGCCGCUUUCCCGAUGCGGGAUCGAACCCUAGUCACAGAGUGCAGAAAGUGAAAGAAAAUAUUCAAUAUAAACAAAACAUGAUUGGGUAGCGCCACCUACUGGAUCAUUCGGGAAAUAACUUUUUAAAGGGAAACAACCUCUUCAGACUAUUCUUUCCAACGGGCACCUGCUGCGCUGUUUACGUUUUGAAAUGAAUAGCAGAAACUGUGACAUGAAAGAAUUGCUUACAUCAGAUUCAUCAUCAACAUCUGUUAUCUCUUAAAGACUAAACAAAAGUGUUACAUGCAACAAAUGUAUAACUCUAUGGCAAACUACAGGGAAAUAUUUCUUCUGAAUGGAGAUUAAUGGCAGCAUUUCACUACUGUAGUCUGCAUUAUGUACAAUAUGUAUUCUCAUAAAUAAAUUUGGAUGAAGUUUGAAAUGUGUUUGUGGCAUCUUCAGAUAUUGAUGAAAAUCAGUAUUGAUGGGAAAAAUAGCUGUGAAACAUUUGAAAGAAAUAAUUGAUAAAAAAUGAAAUCUGAAAAAAAAUAUAUAUUGUCCUGAGAGAAGAAAAUUAUUGAAACAAUGGCUAAUGUUACAGACUUAAAGAAUUGAUUUAUUAUUCUGUUGAAGAGUUGCAAAAAGAGACGGAAAAAUCCUCAUACCAUUGUGGUAUCUGUCAAAAAUCAUUUUCUCUGGAAAGUAACCUCAUGAAUCACAAAUGAAUUGAUAGAAGUGAGAAACCAUA